AUUGAACGCUGGCGGCAUGCCUUACACAUGCAAGUCGAACGGCAGCACGGGUGCUUGCACCUGGUGGCGAGUGGCGAACGGGUGAGUAAUACAUCGGAACAUGUCCUGUAGUGGGGGAUAGCCCGGCGAAAGCCGGAUUAAUAUCGCAUACGAUCUACGGAUGAAAGCGGGGGACCUUCGGGCCUCGCGCUAUAGGGUUGGCCGAUGGCUGAUUAGCUAGUUGGUGGGGUAAAGGCCUACCAAGGCGACGAUCAGUAGCUGGUCUGAGAGGACGACCAGCCACACUGGGACUGAGACACGGCCCAGACUCCUACGGGAGGCAGCAGUGGGGAAUUUUGGGCAAUGGGCGAAAGCCUGAUCCAGCAAUGCCGCUUGUGUGAAGAAGGCCUUCGGGUUGUAAAGCACUUUUGUCCGGAAAGAAAUCCUUGGCCCUAAUACGGUCGGGGGAUGACGGUACCGGAAGAAUAAGCACCGGCUAACUACGUG
rnacentral:rRNA from 1 species